rnacentral:rRNA from 1 species
CGAACGCUGGCGGCGUGCUUAACACAUGCAAGUCACGGGGGCCCGCAAGGGUAACCGGCGAACGGGUGCGUAACACGUGAGCAACCUGCCAUGCACUGGGGGAUAGCCGGCCCAACGGCCGGGUAAUACCGCAUACGCUCUGUUGCCGGCAUCGGUGGCAGAGGAAACCUCCGGGGGUGCAUGAGGGGCUCGCGGCCUAUCAGCUAGUUGGUGGGGUCACGGCCUACCAAGGCGAUGACGGGUAGCUGGUCUGAGAGGAUGGCCAGCCACAUUGGGACUGAGAUACGGCCCAGACUCCUACGGGAGGCAGCAGUGGGGAAUAUUGCGCAAUGGCCGCAAGGCUGACGCAGCGACGCCGCGUGGGGGAUGACGCAUUUCGGUGUGUAAACCCCUGUUGCUCGGGACGAACAGCUCUUUUCGAGGAGCCUGACGGUACCGGGUGAGGAAGCACCGGCUAACUCCGUGCCAGCAG